rnacentral:rRNA from 1 species
UCUACGGGAGGCAGCAGUGAGGAAUAUUGGUCAAUGGGCGUAAGCCUGAACCAGCCAAGUCGCGUGAGGGAUGAAGGUUCUAUGGAUCGUAAACCUCUUUUAUAAGGGAAUAAAGUGUGGGACGUGUCCUAUUUUGUAUGUACCUUAUGAAUAAGGAUCGGCUAACUCCGUGCCAGCAGCCGCGGUAAUACGGAGGAUCCGAGCGUUAUCCGGAUUUAUUGGGUUUAAAGGGUGCGUAGGCGGCCUUUUAAGUCAGCGGUGAAAGUCUGUGGCUCAACCAUAGAAUUGCCGUUGAAACUGGGGGGCUUGAGUAUGUUUGAGGCAGGCGGAAUGCGUGGUGUAGCGGUGAAAUGCAUAGAUAUCACACAGAACACCGAUUGCGAAGGCAUCUCACGAAUCCGCGAUUGACGCUGAUGCACGAAAGCGUGGGUAUCAAACAGGAUUAGAUACCCUAGUAGUC